GCAGUCACUUUGUGGGUAAUGUAUUUUUCUUGCUAAAGAUUUUCAGUUCUUUAUUAUUUUGUGUGAUGAAUUCACACUCAUGGAGGGUUGGCAAGCUAUAUGAUAAGCCAACUCUGUCUUCAUACCUGUUUUCGUACAACCCAUGAGCUAAGAAUACUUUUACCUUUUUUAAUUUCAAAGAAAAAUCACAGGAAUAACUUGUGAUGUGAAACACUAUGUGAUUAUUUCUGAGUUUAUUUUUAAAGUUCUAUUGGAAUUUGCAUGCAUUUGCUUUAUUUUAUCUGCAUCUGCCACAUAAUUGUAACAGGACCUACAAGAUCUGACAUACUUAUAAUCAGGGCUGAGAAAGAAAAAAAUGCUGAUUCUUGCUCAUGUGCAUCCUUUAUUUGCUAAAAUUCUAGAAAUUAUUUCUAUUGUUUUCUAGAGGUGUUUUUAAACCCCAGCAUUUCAAUAAAAACAACAAAUAAUGUUUUCAACCUUGUCCAUUCCAUUCGGUAUCAUGCAGCAGUUUUCAUUAGAAACAUUACUUUCUGGGUGUGUGAGAUGGCUCAGUGGUAAAGGCACCUACUUCCAGGCUUCCCAACCUGAGUUUGAUCUCAGGAUCCUACAAGGUGGCAAGAAUCUAUGUCAAAAAGUUGAUCUUUGAUCUUCAGAUGUGCACCAUAACAUAGGAACCGUUAAAAAACCACCCCUAAAACAAAACAAACAAACAAACAAACAAACAAACAGACAAACAAACAGACAGCCAAUAACAGAAGAACUUCCCCAUUUCUAAGACACUAACUGUAUUUUUAAGGGUACUUUUUUUUUUUUUAAAGAUUUAUUUAUUUAUUAUAUGUAAGUACAUUGUAGCUGUCUUCAGACACUCCAGAAGAGGGCGUCAGAUCUUGUUACAGAUGGUUGUGAGCCACCAUGUGGUUGCUGGGAUUUGAACUUCAGACCUUCGGAAGAGCAGUCGGGUGCUCUUACCCACUGAGCCAUCUCACCAGCCCUUAAGGGUACUUUUUUACAUUCCUCUGAACACUCAUUUUGAUGCCUUGUUCUAUCUCUGUAUUAACUUCUUCCAACAGUGAAUGCCCUCAUACUGUACUUUGUUGGUAUUUCUCAACUGUCUGCUGUGUGUUCAUUUUUCUUUGUUGUUGGGAACAGACUGUUGCCUCUGCCUUGCUGGUUGCCUAGGGAGGGGAAGAGGGUUGGAAAGAUGGCCCAGUCUGACUGUGUGGCUAAGUGUGUGGGUGGCUGCUCUUUCCCUUCCAAGUUCCCAUAGUCUUCACCUUUGCCUUUCUUUUAGGGAUAGGAUGGGAUAGAGAGUUAGACCUAUGUGAAUGCUGCUUCUGGUGUCCUCCUUGUUUCUAGGUUUUAGUCAAAUGAGGUGGGGAUCACUAAGUGCUGCUCUCAUUAUCUGUAACAAUUACCCCUUGUAUUCUGCUACAAAAAGCUGUCUGCUCCUUCCUUCUGGUCCUGUUUGCUCCCCAUCUUUCGCCAUCUUCUAGUGUCUACUUCAAGUGUCUCUUCUUUUAGGUGAUUCUGUUUUUUGUUUUGUUUCUUAAUUGUCAUCUUCCAUUGCCAGGGUCUUGCUAUGUACCAGCUGUCCCCAACACAUGGUUUAGUUGCUUGGUCUCUGGGAUGUUGAGGUCUCAGGCAUGAACCAGCUGUAACUCUUACGUACGUACGUACGUACGUACGUGGUGUGGAAGCUGAAGACUGCAGCAUGCAUCCGGUCCACCUCCUUUUAAUCAGAAGCUAGUCUGUACUGUUAUUUUUUGGAUGUUUUGUAUCCUAAUAUGUAUUCUGCAAAUGCUUUAUGAACAAAACUCACAAUUUUUAUUUUAAAUUAGGAACUUUACAAUGUCUAUAAACAAUAGGAUUCAUUCCCCACCUCUGUUUUUUUGUCUCUGAAGUCUAAUAGUAUCAAGAAAGCUUAUCUUCUUAUUUAAUGUGUAUGAGUACUGUAGCUGCCUUUAGACACACAAGAGGGCAUCGGAUCCCAUUACAGACGGUUGUGAGCCACCAUGUGGUUGCUGGGAAUUGAACUCAGGACCCCUGGAAGAGCAGUCAGUGCUUUUAACCCACUGAGCCAUCUCUCCAGCCCCAAGAAAGCUUUUUAAGGAGUGCUUUUAAAUUAUUAAAAUAAUGUUUUUUGUGGUGGUCAUUAUUCCAUAACUGAACCGUUUUAAUAAGAAACUUUAGCCCUUCUCAUUCAUUGAUCUAAAAACAUCUGCUUUAAUUAUGACUUGAGUCUGUGCUGUGUGUGUAUGUUCUGUGACUGUAUGAAACGAUUUUACGUUUGCCUUUACUAUUCUAGCUGGUUACUUCAACUAACAUUAGCUCUCCUAGUUGCCUUAGUAGAUUUCUAGGAUAUCUGCCAAGAUGUGCUAAUAAAACUUACAUGUGUAUUUUCUGUGCCUUCUUUUAAUUGUUACACAUAAUUUCCCUCUCUUUAUCCUAGUUUUCCUUACAGUCUAUUUUCCAGCAGAUUGUAUUUUAUUUUCUAUCUUUUUAGUACAGUGGUUCUCAACCUACCUAAUGCUGUAAUCCCUUAAUAGAGUUCUUCACGUUGUGGUGACCCCCAACCACAAAAUUCUUUUCAUUGCUACUUUAUGAUUUUAAUUACUACUAUGAAUUGUACUGUAACUUUAAGUGUUUUAAGUGAGUCUUAGGUGAGCCCUGUUCCCCUGUGUGAAAGGGAGCAUUGACCCACAGGUUGAGAACCUCUGUUGUAUUUGGUUAGGCUUACUUUUAUAUUUAAAUUGAUUGAAUUCUUAUUAUUUGUUAUUUUAUGCCACUGCUGUAAGGCAGCUGGAGGCCAGGCUUAUUUAUACCUCCCUCAUCUUGUGACAUGUUUUUAAUUAGUUAAAAAAUUUACCAGGGCCACACAGAAAAUUAAAUUUUGUCUCAAAAUUAAAAAAAAUAUUUUAUUGUUGGGAAUUAUUUUCCCUAUCCUUGGUAUUUUGUUUUUCCAUAGGAAGUUGAGGAUUGCUCUUUCCAUAUCUGUGAAGAACUGUGUUAGAAUUUUGAUGGGGAUUGCAUCGAAUCUGUAGAUUGCUUUUGGUAAGAUGGCUAUUUUUACUAUGUUAAUCCUACUGAUCCAUGAGCAUGGGAGGUCUUUCUAUCUUUUGAGGCCUUCUUCGAUUUCUUUAUUCAGGGACUUGAAGUUCUUGUCAUACAGAUCUUUCACUUGCUUGGUCAGAGUUACACCAAGAUAUUUUAUAUUAUUUAUGGCUAUUGUGAAAGGUGUUGUUUCUCUAAUUUCUUUCUCAGCCCAUUUAUCCUUUGUAUAAAGGCAGGCUGCUGACUUGUUAGUUUUAUACCCAGCCGUUUGGCUGAGGGUGAUUACCAGCUGUAGGAGCUCUGGUGGGAUUUUCUGGGUUGCUUAUAUGCACUACAUAUCAUCUGCAAGUAGUGAUAACCUUGACUUCUUCUUUCCAGUUUUCUUUCUUUGUUGGGUCUUUGUGUGGUUUAGGUAUCAGAGUAAAUGUGGCUUUAUAGAAUGAAUUAAGUAGUGUUCCUUCUGUUUCUGUUGUGUGGAAUAGUUUGAGGAGUAUUGUAUUAGCUUUUCUUUGAAGGUCUAGUAGAAUUUUGCACUAAAACCAUGUGGCCCUGGGCUUUUUUUGUUACGAGGUUUUUAAUGACUGCUUCUAUUUCCUUAUGGGUUAUGGGACUGUUUAGAUAGUUUACCUGCUCUUGAUUUAAUUUUGGUACCUGGUAUCAUCCAUUUCCUCUAGAUUUUCCAUUUUUGUCAAGUAUAGGCUUUUGUAGUAAGAUCUGAUGAUUUUUUGAAUUUCCUCAGUUUCUGUUGUCAUGUCUUCCUUUUCAUUUCUGAUUUUGUUAAUUUGGAUACCGUGUCUGUGCCCUUUAGUUAGUUUGGCUAAGGGUUUUUCUAUCUUGUUGAUUUUCUCAAAGAAUCAGCUCUUUGUUUUGAUGAUUCUUUUUAUCUUUCUAAUUGGUUGGUUUCAGCCCUAAGUUUGACUAUUUCCACUUUUGGGGAAUCACCAUUCCUGAUCUCAAGCUGUACAAUUCAGCAAUAGUGAUAAAAAAAAAAAAAACCUCCAUGUUAUUGAUACACAGACAGAAAGGUCGAUCAGUGGAAUAGAAUUGAAGACUCAGAAGUAAACCCACACAUCUAUGGACACUUGAUCUUUGACAAAGAAACCAAAACCAUACACUGGAAAAAAGAAAGCAUCUUCAGCAAAUGGCACUGAUCUAACAGGCAGUCUGCAUGUGCAAGAAUGCAAAUUGAUUCAUAUUCAUCACCUUCUACAAAGCUCAAGUUCAAGUGGAUCAAGGACCUCCACACAAAACUAGAUACACUGAAUCUAAUAGAAGAGAAAGUGGGAAAUAGCCGCGAAUGCAUUGGCACAAGGGAGAAUUUCCUGAAUAGAUCACCAAAGGCUCAGGCUCUAAUCAACAAUUGACAAAUUGGACCUCAUGAAACUGAAAAACUUCUAUAAGGCAAAGGACACUGUCAAUAGUUCAAAACGGAAACCUACAUAUUGGGAAAAGAUCUUCACUAACCCUACUUCUGAUAGAGGGCUAAUAUCCAAAAUUUAUAAAGCACUCAAGAAGUUAGACUCCCAGUAAACCAAAUAACCGAAUUAACAAAUGGGGUACAAAGCUAAACAGAAUUCUCAGCAGAGGAAUCUUAAGUUGCUGAGAUGCACUUAAAGAAAUGUUCACCAUCCUUAGUCAUCAGGGAAAUGCAAAUCAAAACAACCCUGAGAUUCCACCUCACACGAAUCAGAAUGGCUAAGAUAAAAAACUCAAGCAAGAGCAGAUGCUGGUGAGCAUGUGGAGAAAGGAACACUCCUCCACUGCAGGUGGGACUGCAAACUGGUACAGCCACUCUGGAAAUCAACCUGGCAGUUCCUUAGAAAAUUGGAAAUACUGAAGACCCAGCAAUAUCACUCCUGGGCAUAUACCCAAAAGAUGCUCCACCAUAUCAAAUACUGAAGACCCAGCAAUAUCACUCCUGGGCAUAUACCCAAAAGAUGCUCCACCAUAUCAAAUACUGAAGACCCAGCAAUAUCACUCCUGGGCAUAUACCCAAAAGAUGCUCCACCAUAUCAAAUACUGAAGACCCAGCAAUAUCACUCCUGGGCAUAUACCCAAAAGAUGCUCCACCAUAUCCAAGAACAGGUGCUUCACUAUGUUCGUAGCAGCCUUAUUUGUAUUAUCACUAUGUAUAUGUAUUAUCACUAUCAAUAUGUAUUAUCACUAUGUUAUCACUAUGUAUAUCACUAUGUUCGUAGCAGCCUUAUUUGUAUUAGCCAGAAGCUGGAAAUGACUCAGAUGUUCCUCAACCGAAGAAUGGAUACAGAAAAUGUGGUUCAGUUACACAAUGGAAUUCUGUUCAGCUAUUAAAAAAUAAGGACAUCAUGAAUUUUGCAGGCAAAUGGAUGGAAAUAUAGAAAAUAUUCUGAGCGAGGUAACCCAGACCCAAAAGGACAUGCAUCGUGUGUACUCACUGAUAAAUGGAUAUUAGUCAAAAGUACAGAAUACCCAUGAUACAACUCACAGACCAUAUGAAGUUU
rnacentral:lncRNA from 1 species